GGCAAGCUGGCACCUCUGUUCUGUAGCUUGUUCACUCUGCUUCCGUCAUCAUGACAACCACGCUAGCUAAUCCUCCAUUGUUAGAUAUCAAAUAGUGCUCUAGCACACACGCAUGCCCAUGCAUGCUCAUGUUCUCCUCCUCUGUCUCUCUCUCACACACACAUGCACACGCACACACGCACAUGCGCACACAUUUAUAUUGCAAUAUGAAUUAUGUUGGUAAUUGUUAUAUGCUGCUUCUGUUUGUUGAAAGCAGGUCUCAAGAGCAAGAAGGUGUACACUUGUCUCCUCCAAGCCCUUGGUGCUGGGUCGACUGCUCCUCACGUGCUAUAGCAGGAAAAAAACAACAAGCAGUUUAUUUGACUAUUCUUUAUUAUGCACGUCGGCUCAGGCCCUAAGUGUACCCGGUGAAGCCGAAGUUGGUGUUCGUGUUCUCCAUCUCCUCCUUGGUGCGUAACCCAUAAAGCUCGCCGAUGAGGGGUGGCACCCAUCGUGUGGUAUGGAACAUAGACUCCCCCACCUUCCAGUUGGGCACAUCUUUCAUGAUGAUGGCCUCCUCCUCCAGAUUCUCCCGAAGAAUCUGCAGGGUCCUGCGGUCUUCUCUGCCUGGAGGAGUGGCAUGAGGGCGAUCCUGGCCUCCAAGUCCUCGAUCAGCAGGUGCCUACACUCCUGGUUCCACCUCAUUAUUCUCCAGUAGCCAAAGAUCAAGGCCCCGAUGCCCAAAGCAAACAUGCUGUAUCCCGACAGUCCCCAGCAGGGCAGGUUCCGCUUGUAAUCGAUGGGGCUGUAGCCCCCUGGUGGGGGCAUGUCCUGCUUCACCUUCGACGCCGACAUACUUUCAG
ensembl:lncRNA